UGUGAUCGCUCUAUGGACAUGUCACCCUACUGCUGGCCAAUCAGAAGACCUCUGCCCUAUAUUGAGCCUAGCAGUCGGGAGAGGACUGGCAGAUUUUGCAUUGGAAUCCAUUUUGCAUGCCCAGACACAUUCUAAGGUGAGAACAUGGAGACAGAUUGCACACCUUUGAGGCAUUCAGAGCUGACUACCCCAUCAUUGUUGCCAAGACCGAACCCCAGAAGCGCUAUAUUAGCACCAGUUCUGAUGAUGAAUGUUUCUCACCAACUAAGCUGUUAAAAGAGGAAGAGAAUGAGCUCAGCCAAAUGCCAAAUAACAUGAUGGAUGCAAUUUCAGCAGCUAACUCUGUAAUGCAGGGAUCUGCACCCACUCCAGAAGCAGCCAGCACCAACAUCCCUGUGGAAGGUGGCAUCAAUAGGAAACAUUCAAAUACAGGAUUCUGAAGAUCUAACAACUAAUCAGCCUAACCAGCUCAUCCUUAGAAGCAUUUCUUGCCAUUCAAACCGGUGAAUCAGACAACAUUUUACUGAGAAAAGGAGGGCAGCAAUGAAAAGCAUUGUCAGAGCAGCUGUUUAUGCCAUUUUGAAACUCUGUUUAAUGCAAAACAUGUAUGACACUUGUAUCAGAUGUACAAUUCAAGCUCCAGUACAAGCAUCACAUGAAUGUCUGACUUUGACAAAGUCUGUCCUCUGUAGAAAGCUGAGAAUUAUAUGUGGGAAAAUCUGUUUUAAAAGUGUGCUUCACAUUGUUAUCUUAAUUGCCUUGUUCUAACACAAGAAAGCAUUGAUGAAAUAUUAAAUCUUGUGACCAAAGUUGGCCAUUCCCAGAAGGCCGUUAAAGUUGUUGAAAAGAUACUGAGAGACACUGAUCUGUCAUAUG